rnacentral:rRNA from 1 species
AAACUUUCAACAACGGAUCUCUUGGUUCUGGCAUCGAUGAAGAACGCAGCGAAAUGCGAUAAGUAAUGUGAAUUGCAGAAUUCAGUGAAUCAUCGAAUCUUUGCACGCACAUUGCGCCCCGUGGUAUUCCGCGGGACAUGCCUGUUCGAGCGUCAUU